AUGGUUAGCGGCGGACGGGUGAGUAACACGUAGGCAACCUGCCUGCAAGACCGGGAUAACCCACGGAAACGUGAGCUAAUACCGGAUAUCUCAUUUCCUCUCCUGAGGGGAUGAUGAAAGACGGAGCAAUCUGUCACUUGCGGAUGGGCCUGCGGCGCAUUAGCUAGUUGGUGAGGUAACGGCUCACCAAGGCGACGAUGCGUAGCCGACCUGAGAGGGUGAACGGCCACACUGGGNNNGAGACACGGCCCAGACUCCUACGGGAGGCAGCAGUAGGGAAUCUUCCGCAAUGGGCGAAAGCCUGACGGAGCAACGCCGCGUGAGUGAUGAAGGUUUUCGGAUCGUAAAGCUCUGUUGCCAGGGAAGAACGUCC
rnacentral:rRNA from 1 species